rnacentral:rRNA from 1 species
UAAUACGUAGGAGGCGAGCGUUGUCCGGAAUCACUGGGUGUAAAGCGCGUGUAGGCGGCCUGCCAAGUCUGUCGUGAAAGGGCCCGGCUUAACCGGGUCAGGUCGAUGGAAACUGGUGGGCUGGAGGCCGGUAGAGGUGAGUGGAAUUCCCGGUGUAGUGGUGAAAUGCGUAGAGAUCGGGAGGAACACCAGUGGCGAAGGCGGCUCACUGGGCCGAGCCUGACGCUGAGACGCGAAGGCGUGGGGAGCGAACGGGAUUAGAUACCCCGGUAGUCCACGCAGUAAACGAUGCACACUAGGUGUGGGGGGUAUCGAGCCCCUCCGUGCCGCAGCCAACGCAGUAAGUGUGCCACCUGGGGAGUACGGCCGCAAGGUUA